rnacentral:rRNA from 1 species
UAGUCCACGCCGUAAACGAUGAGUGCUAGCUGUUGGAUUUUCGGAUUCAGUGGCGCAGUUAACGCAUUAAGCACUCCGCCUGGGGAGUACGGUCGCAAGAUUAAAACUCAAAGGAAUUGACGGGGACCCGCACAAGCGGUGGAGCAUGUGGUUUAAUUCGAGGCAACGCGAAGAACCUUACCAGCUCUUGAAUCCCGAUCGCGAUUAGAGGAGACUCUUUUCUUCAGCUUGGCUGGAUCGGUGACAGGUGGUGCACGGCUGCCGUCAGCUCGUGUCGUGAGAUGUUGGGUUAAGUCCCGCAACGAGCGCAACCCUCAUCCUUAGUUGCUAACAUUUAGUUGAGAACUCUAAGGAAACCGCCGGUGUUAAACCGGAGGAAGGUGGGGAUGACGUCAAGUCCUCAUGGCCCUUAUGGGCUGGGCUACACACGUGCUACAAUGGCAGUGACAGAGGGACGCUACCUCGCGAGAGGAUGCAAAUCUCAAAAAGCUGUCUCAGUUCGGAUUG